rnacentral:lncRNA from 10 species
UCGAAAGUUACCAUCUGUCCUUCAAAUGGGAAUAAUGGUUAAGGAGGUCAAUUGUUCUGGACUAUUGAGUAUCCGCAAAGGCAGAUUUAAGCCCUGCAAGAGCCAGAGAGGUGAGGCAAAUCCUGCAAAGUCAUACAUGUCUCCAAGGCAGUGAAGGAACUGAGACCCGAGGAAGCCUCUGGUUCCUGCCUGGUGCUCUUUCCACCACUCCACUCCCCUGCCUUACAAAAGUCCUAAUUUGACACAUCCCAAUUAUUUGAAGGACCUCAAUGUUGCUGUUAUUUUGUUUCCAUUCCUGAUUCUUUUUUCAGAACUCGAGAUACAAAUUAUAUUCAGAGAUUUUAAGCAAACUGGUUGAUGAGUCUUCACAAAUGUAUACACCUAUGUAACUACCACCUUAAUUGAGAUAUAGAACAUUUCCAUCACCCCAGAGAGUUCCCCCAUGACUCCCCAGCAAUCAUUCCCCAUUCCCCCACCUGACCAGAGGCAACAACUAUCCUGCUUUCUACCAUGAAAGGUUUCUGCCCCCAUGUAGAACUUCAUAUAAGUGGAAUCAUACAGUAUAUAGCCCAUUCAGUCUGGGUUUCUUUCACUCCACAUGAUUUUAAGAUUCAUCCAUGUUUUUGCACUUAUCAGUAGUGCAUUCUUUUUAAAAACAAUUAUCCUUUUUCAUUGCUGAGUAGUAUUCCGUUGUAUAGACAUCACACUUACUUGUUGAUAAACACUUGGAUUGUUUCCAGUAUCAGUUAUUACGAAUAAAGUUGGUCG